AUCCCGUUCCCAGAAUAUGCCUGUUCGCGGGUUAGGUAGUGGCAUGGCACUACCUAACCCGCAAACAGGCAUACUCUGGGAACGAGCUUGAAUU
rnacentral:miRNA from 1 species